ACCUCAAAUCAGGCAAGAAUACCCGCUGAACUUAAGCAUAUCAAUAAGCGGAGGAAAAGAAACUAACAAGGAUUCCCCUAGUAACGGCGAGUGAAGAGGGAAGAGCUCAAAUUUUAAAUCUGCCUUGUUUCAAGGUCGAGUUGUAAUUUGAAGAAGCGUUUUCUUGGGCUCGCGGCCGGUAGAAGUUCUUUGGAACAGGACAUCAUAGAGGGUGACAAUCCCGUCUGCGACCGGUCGUGUGUUCGUCUACGAUACGCUUUCAAAGAGUCGAGUUGUUUGGGAUUGCAGCUCCAAAUGGGUGGUAAACAUCACCUAAGGCUAAAUAUUGGCGAGAGACCGAUAGCGAACAAGUACCGUGAGGGAAAGAUGAAAAGAACUUUGAAAAGAGAGUUAAAUAGUACGUGAAAUUGUUGAAAGGGAAACGAUUGAAGUCAGUCGUGCUGGCGCGAAAUCAACCCUCUCGUCGAGAGGUCACACGGCGUGGCGAGCCUCAAAACCGUCACGAAGCGUGAACUCUUGGCGAAAAGGAGCACUUUCGUGUCCGCUGGUUAACAUCAAUUUCGAACGUCAUAAAAAGGCUGGAGGGAUGUGGCUCCUUCGGGAGUGUUAUAACCUUUAGCGGAAUGUGGUGGUCGGGAUUGAGGAUUGCAACGAAUACCUUUAGGGCUGUUCCACCUGGCUUCUCUUUGGUAUCCUGGUGACGACAGCUUGCUGACGUUGUUAGGAUUCGCCUUUGAACAGGCUAGAGUGUGAGCAAAUUCGUUAAGGAUGUUAACGUAAUGGCUUUAAACGACCCGUCUUGAAACACGGACCAAGGAGUCUAGCAUAUAUGCGAGU
rnacentral:rRNA from 1 species